rnacentral:rRNA from 2 species
GAGAAACUUUGCAAUGUGCGAAAGCACGACAAGGUUAAUCCGAGUGGUUUCUGCUAAAGGAACUUUUGUUAGCCAUAGAACCACUAAUGAAUAAGGGGUGGGCAAGUUCUGGUGUCAGCCGCCGCGGUAAAACCAGCACCUCAAGUGGUCAGGAUGAUUAUUGGGCUAAAGCAUCCGUAGCCUGCUUUGUUAGUUUUCGGUUAAAUCCAUACGCUCAACGUAUGGGCUGCCGGGAAUACUGCAAAGCUAGGGAGUGGGAGAGGUAGACGGUACUCGGUAGGAAGGGGUAAAAUCCUUUGAUCUAUUAAUGACCACCUGUGGCGAAGGCGGUCUACCAGAACACGUCCGACGGUGAGGGAUGAAAGCUGGGGGAGCAAACCGGAUUAGAUACCCGGGUAGUCCCAGCUGUAAACUAUGCAAACUCGGUGAUGCAUUGGCUUGAUGCCAAUGCAGUGCCGCAGGGAAGCCGUUAAGUUUGCCGCCUGGGAAGUACGUACGCAAGUAUGAAACUUAAAGGAAUUGGCGGGGGAGCACCACAAGGGGUGAAGCCUGCGGUUCAAUUGGAGUCAACGCCAGAAAUCUUACCCGGAGAGACAGCAGAAUGAAGGUCAAGCUGAAGACUUUACCAGACAAGCUGAGAGGUGGUGCAUGGCCGUCGCCAGCUCGUGCCGUGAGAUGUCCUGUUAAGUCAGGUAACGAGCGAGAUCCCUGCCUCUAGUUGCCACCAUUACUCUCAGGAGUAGUGGGGCGAAUUAGCGGGGCCGCCGUAGUUAAUACGGAGGAAGGAAGGGGCCACGGCAGGUCAGUAUGCCCCGAAACUCUGGGGCCACACGCGGGCUGCAAUGGUAACGACAAUGUGUUCCGAAUCCGAAAGGAGGAGGUAAUCCAGAAACGUUACCACAGUUAUGACUGAGGGCUGCAACUCGCCCUCACGAAUAUGGAAUCCCUAGUAACUGCGUGUCAUUAUCGCGCGGUGAAUACGUCCCUGCUCCUUGCACACACCGCCCGUCGUUUCAUUGAAGUUUGCUUUUAGCGAGGUGACGUCUAAUGGCGUAUC